rnacentral:lncRNA from 1 species
UUUUUUUUCCCUUUGAAAUCAUUGUAUAUCUGUAAAUACAUUCAGUGGGUAGUAAAUAUCACUUUUAGUUCAACUACCCUAGGAACCAGUCUUACUAGAUGCCAAACUAUUGAAAAAAAAUGGCAUUAAACUUCAAAUGAUCUUGUUUGCUUUACUCAAACACAAACUGCUGUUAUUUGAAAAAUAUUAAGUUUUCUCAUUAAAAGAAAAUAAAAUUCAAACAUUUCUCACUCUCCUAUUUAUAUACUACCAAAACCUUACCUAAAACCAAGCAACUGUAAACUCGAUGUAUUAUGACUAUUGAUAUUAUAAGACAGAGGAUAAAUAUAAAGCUAGAUUGCUUGAAUGUCACUACAGAUACAAGGUAAGCUUUGUCCCAAAAUGAUUUUUUUGCAAUCCACUGCAAUGUAAACAUUUUACCUUUGUAAAGUUUCAGAGAUCACAUACAGAAUCAAAUGAGCUAUAAAAUAAUUGAUAGAAAUUUUCAUAAUACCCAAACGUAUUUACAUAUGUGUUUUAGAUUAGAAUACACCUGAGAACUUAAAGAUACAUGAAAACACAAGAAAUGCUAACGAAUUCAUCCGUUAACUCAUGUUUCUUAUUUGUUAGUAAGUUCUGUUUUAUCUGCCACACCUUGAAAUACAUUCUAUAUUUUUAAUUUAAAGAGGAGAGUAUGUCAAAUAAAGGAAAUAAUACAGCAUGCACAAAACAAGGAUCUUUUAUAUUUUUCAGUUAUAAAUAUAUCCCAAGCACCUAGAUGAGUCUUUGGCAUAGAAUAGGCAAAAACAAAACAAAACAAAAAUCAUAAGUAGUCAGGUAUCUGGAGGGAGGGAACAAGGCAGGGAGGAACAUUGAUUGAUUGAUUGAUUGAUUGAGGGCAUUGAAAUAUGAAAACCAUUUUCUGAGUCAUGACUUUUCCAUUUACUGAUUUACUGGCUAGGUGAUCUUAGGCAACAAGUUAAAAACUAUUAGUCUCUAUUUUCUUUGCACCAUAAUAUGAUUUACUUUAUCACAGACUAAUUGUUGAGAAUGAAUGAUUAAUGUCCAUGAAAACACUUUUUAAAUUUUAAAGUAUAUAUGAACCUGUGUAUGCACAUAAAAUACACACGUCAAUAUCCAUGCAUUUUCAUACUAAUAUAAGCCAAGCUAAGGACACAUAUUAUAGCUUGUCUUAACUAAAUUUUUUUUGGUAGUAACUAUAUUUUUGUCUUAACUAAAAGUUGGCCAUGAAAGUCCAGAAUUUCUAAGACAAGCAAAGAAUUCAUGACAUAUACAAGUACUUCAAGUAAGAAAGUAGAAAUCUAAAUGGUAUUCAUGUAUUCCAUAAUUAAAAGAUGCUAAUGAGGAUGCUUAAAUAAACUACUUUCUAGGAGAGCAUGAAGGCAUACAAGAAGGAAAAAAGAGAGUAUUAUUUUGGAAUAGGUAAUAAUAUGAUUUGAAGAACUAUUUUCAAAAGGAAACCAUAUAUAUAACAGCUUCAGCCUCUGGGAGAUGCAGAGAACUUCAGAAGAGGUAAUAGAAAUCUUUUUAUUACUCAGCACUGUUUCCAUCUCAAGAUCUGGAGAACCUGUCUCUUAGUACCAUUGAACUUGGUACACCAUACACAAAGAACUGGAUAAAAUAAUAUAGAGAAGAAAAAUGCAAAAGAAAAAAAAAGAUGGUUACCUAACUCAGACAAAGGACAUAUAUGUUAAAAAGGAUGCAAGGAGCACAGCAGGACAGGCACCUUCUUGCAUUUUUUCACCUAUGGCUCCCUAUAGUAGUAAGCAUUCUGUCCAGAGAGUUUGUGGCAUGGGAAAUGGUUAUGAUCCCACUGAUGUCCUCCCUUUAAAAAAAUUAAAUAAAAACCAAAAUCUUUCUGUCAAUAAAGUUAACCAGCCGGUUCGAUCAUAUCAUCCAUAUCCAUGUUGUACAAAGUCAUUCAGAGGAAAACAAGGAAGUGAGCAAUUCUAACUACCAAAGCAGUGCAUUUGUCACCAGAGACACUUAACAGUGAGGGAAGCAUUCAGCAGAAAAUACCAUUUUAAAUGCCUAGGCUGCUCAUUGGCUGAGUAAGAUUGUCUUCAUUGCUAACAGAAUUAUAUAAAUAGAUUUUUAGAGAAUUAAUCAUCAGGAAACAAAUGUUUUCCCUGAGUUGAGAUUGAUCACCUGUGAAAACGACAGUCAAGACCUUUGGGCAAUUCAAGUCCACUUUAAGGUAUGUCAGGGGAAAAAAUUCAUUUCAAAGUGGUGAAUCAUUAUGCUUUCACAUUCCCAUGAUCAAAAGUUUGGGAUUCCCACAUUUAGAUUUUGAAAUUCACAGAAUAACCAGCCUCAGUCUCCCUGUAAGCAAUUAACUCCGGGUACAUAUUUGUAAGCUUUUGAGCCUUGGUGGAUAAUUGACUGUUUUGUCUGAGACAACGCGCUCAAGUUGUAAGAUUCCAUUAAUACACAUCUGACACUUCCUAUAAACUCAGUUUUGUUCAGACCUGAAUUGACUGAAAGAGACAAGUCGAACGGCAGUCAUGUCAAGCGCUGCCAAACAGGACUGGGCUGGCGGAGGAUGCAGAAGUGUGACAUAGCUGAGAGAUCCCUGCUGUCUGUAAGUACAACUUGAGCACCUCCAAACCCUGAUUUCUAAUUAUCCAAAUUACUGGUUUGCACCGGCAGAAAUAGACUAUGUUGAAGCUGAGUAGAGGUAAAUCUGAAAAGCAUGAGCAUAUUGAAGCCUGAUGGCUAAGUCGUUAGUCAAAAGUUUUAUUACCCUAGAAAGAGAGGGUGAGGCUAUUAAAAUAAAAGAAUAGGUUAAAUUAAAUACCAGCUAUUUACACCUUUUCUGGUUCUUCAUUUCAUAAAUAACUGCCUUCAACUUUAAAAUAACAAUAGCCUGCUACUUUGUUCUGUGAUAAUAAAUAUUAUUUGAGGAACUAAAAGUGUUUUUGAAUUCUUCAUUUUGGUAGCAUGUGAACAUCUUCAGUCAAUUAAAAGCUUUUAUUGUAUCUGAUUUUUCAGGAUCCCUGUCAGAUUCCAUCUCCUAGACCCACAGCAAUUCAACAGCUGCAAAUUUAUUCAUUUUGUUAUAAUCGGGGAAGGAUUCUCAGGUGUAAAUAUCACUACCAAUAAAUGAUUAAAUAAUUGAAAGCUUUAUUUUUAGAGUUUAAAUAUUCUACAAAAGCAUAAAACAGUAUUUUGCUAUGCAUUCAAAAGCACUUAGCUCAAUACAUGAUUUUAACAUCUCCCAAUUCCAGAAAAAAAUUCCCACACCGUUCCUUAAAACUAUCUGCUAUUAUCAUUUCCUUGGAUUAAAAAUAGUAAAUGUCAGUACAAAGUACUACAACUUCAUUUCAGAAGCUAAAGCCUUUGCUCACUUGGUAAAUUUUGUUUUUUUCUAUAUAGAUGCAACUUUGGAAAACUGUCCCAAAGAACUAUCAUUUAACAAUUAGAAACUUUGACUCAUUUUAAAUUUAUAGCAACACUACUUGGGAUUGACCAUUUCUACUCUUUGCUCCUAAAAGCAGAAAAUCAAGGCAUGGAGCAGAGUGGUAUACAUAUCCACAAGUAUUUUUAAAAACAGACACACACACAUUUUCAAAAUAAUGAUCCCAUAACAGCAGUUACUUUCCUUUUCUAAAGAAAAGCUGAAUUUACCUGCCAUUCAUUUUCUACUGCAAAUUAGUUUGCCAGGUAAACGUUAGCAUGCUCUUUUUCAAUUCAUUUUGCCAGAUCCACAUUUC